UACGUAGGGUGCGAGCGUUAAUCGGAAUUACUGGGCGUAAAGCGUGCGUAGGCGGUCCGCGAAGUCUGAUGUGAAAGCCCCGGGCUCAACCUGGGAACUGCAUUGGAAACUAACGGGCUCGAGUGUGGCAGAGGGGGGUGGAAUUCCACGUGUAGCAGUGAAAUGCGUAGAGAUCGGGAGGAACACCAGCAGCGAAGGCGGCAAACUGGAUAGAUACUGACACUCAACUACGAAAGCGUGGGUAGCAAACAGG
rnacentral:rRNA from 1 species